AAGCAUAUCAAUAAGCGGAGGAAAAGAAACUAACAAGGAUUCCCCUAGUAACUGCGAGUGAAGCGGGAAAAGCUCAAAUUUAAAAUCUGGCGGUUAUGCCGUCCGAGUUGUAAUCUGGAGAAGCGUUUUCCGUGUUGGACCGUGUACAAGUCUCUUGGAACAGAGCGUCAUAGAGGGUGAGAAUCCCGUCUUUGACACGGACUACCAAUGCUUUGUGAUACGCUCUCAAAGAGUCGAGUUGUUUGGGAAUGCAGCUCAAAAUGGGUGGUAAAUGCCAUCUAAAGCUAAAUAUUGGCGAGAGACCGAUAGCGAACAAGUACCGUGAGGGAAAGAUGAAAAGCACUUUGGAAAGAGAGUUAAACAGUACGUGAAAUUGUUGAAAGGGAAACGCUUGAAGUCAGUCGCGUUGUCUGGGACUCAGCCUUGCUUCUGCAUGGUGUACUUCCUGGUUAACGGGCCAACAUCGAUUUUGGUCGGUGGAUAAAGUCAGGAGGAAUGUGGCACCCUCGGGUGUGUUAUAGCCUCUUGUCGCAUGCAUCGACUGGGAUCGAGGAUCGCAGCACGCCUUUUUGGCCGGGGUUCGCCCACGUAACGUGCUUAGGAUGUUGGCAUAAUGGCUUUAAUCGACCCGUCUUGAAACACGGACCAAGGAGUCUAACAUGCCCGCGAGUGUUAGGGUGGAAAACCCUUGCGCGUAAUGAAAGUGAAAGUUGGGACCUCUGUCAUGGGGGGCACCGACGCCCGGCCCUGAGCUUUUGUGACGGCGCCGCGGUAGAGCGUGUAUGUUGGGACCCGAAAGAUGGUGAACUAUGCCUGAAUAGGGCGAAGCCAGAGGAAACUCUGGUGGAGGCUCGUAGCGAUUCUGACGUGCAAAUCGAUCGUCAAAUUUGGGUAUAGGGGCGAAAGACUAAUCGAACCAUCUAGUAGCUGGUUCCUGCCGA
rnacentral:rRNA from 1 species